CGAUUUAGCCCUUUGUUGACGGAUCUGUUGCACGACGAUCUGCUUUAUUCUAACUGUCCUCCUGCUUCUGAUGCUUGUGGCCUCUAUUUGCAGCCCAUCUCCACGCAGUAAUAGCUUUGUACAAAUCACUCUGACAUCACACAUCAGAAUUAUAUAGGUUUCCCCCGUUGCUCAACAUUCUAUCUACUGCUUUUGUUGACGGAUCUUCAAACAAUACGCUGGCACCUUCGUCUACAUCAUCGUGCUCCCUGCCUCGAGCUAGGCACUACAACCUGCAUGCAAAACGAGCUAAACA